GACUCUAUAGUCAAUGUUAAUGAUAUUAGAUUGCAAGUCUGAAGUAGUAAAAAUACUAGAGUUU
rnacentral:tRNA from 3 species